ACUAUCUUAGAACAUAGGCUCUGAAGUCUGACCGCCUGUUGAAUCAAGCUCUUACCUCUUACUUCUGUGUGUCCCUGAACAUCUCACUUAACCUUUCUGUGCUUCAGGUCCCUACUUUGAACAGCGCCCCUCUUCUACUGUGAACUACCAUGGGCACUGCGGGGUCAUACACCUGGAGGGGUAACGCCAGAGAAUUACACUCAGGGACCCUAACCCUGAGCCCCAUGGAGCCCUGCGCUGUAAGGAGUUCAAGAGUAUGCUAAUGGUGUUUCACAUGAUGGCCUGUGAAUAUAUGGGAAUGAAAAUUGCUGGGAUCAACUCUGCGAUGUAUGGCCUCUGAUGGGGGCAUUCCAGGCCUGAGAUGAUAAAUUCCUCACGCUGCAGAGGGAGGCUCAGUGUUGUAGAGUUAAAUAAAGAUGAUGCAGCUUCCUGAGGUGGAAGACAGAAACUCGCAUGCUGAGAAGAAGAAACCUGACUCAUUUCUCCUGUCCUGAGGAAUGCUCAAGUUACUUCUUUGAACCCAUCCCACUUCCUGCAACUCCUGUCAUCUUUUCUUUGCCAUUUUGGGUUGCAU